rnacentral:rRNA from 1 species
AUUGAACGCUGGCGGCAUGCCUUACACAUGCAAGUCGAACGGCAGCACGGGUGCUUGCACCUGGUGGCGAGUGGCGCACGGGUGAGUAAUACAUCGGAACAUGUCCUGUAGUGGGGGAUAGUCCGGCGAAAGCCGGAUUAAUACCGCCUACGAUCUACGGAUGAAAGCGGGGGACCUUCGGGCCUCGCGCUUUAGGGUUGCCCGUUGGCUGAUUAGCUAGUUGGUGGGGUAAAGGCCUACCAAGGCGACGAUCAGUAGCUGAUCUGAGAGGACGACCAGCCACACUGGGACUGAGACACGGCCCAGACUCCUACGGGAGGCAGCAGUGGGGAAUUUUGGGCAAUGGGCGAAAGCCUGAUCCAGCAAUGCCGCGUGUGUGAAGAAGGCCUUCGGAUUGUAAAGCACUUUUGUCCGGAAAGAAAACCUUGGCCCUAAUACGGUCGGGGGAUGACGGUACCGGAAGAAUAAGCACCGGCUAACUACGUG